rnacentral:lncRNA from 1 species
UGCGCAUGUGAAGAGGUGUGGAGAGUUUGUUAUGUGCUUUUUUAAUUAGUUAGGACUCUUAUUUGGAUAAGAGAUAAAGCCUAACUAAUUUAAACUGAUUCCUAUCAGGUUUAGACAUAGUAAAGAAGGCUUUUUGUGCGACAAAAACUAUAAGAAGGGAUGUUUUAAUGUGAGAAAUUAAUUCUUUAUAUUUUGUGCGCUAACCACCUU